rnacentral:rRNA from 1 species
CUCUUUAGCUUGGCAUUUGAAUCGGCUUUGCUGUUGCGAAGUAGAGUGGCGGCUUCGGCUGCCGAGGGUCGAUCCAUUUGGGAAAUGUUGUGUACUUCGGUAUGCAUCUCAAUUGGACCUGAUAUCAGGCAAGAUUACCCGCUGAACUUAAGCAUAUUAAUAAGCGGAGGAAAAGAAACUAACAAGGAUUCCCCUAGUAACGGCGAGUGAAGCGGGAAGAGCUCAAGCUUAAAAUCUCCGUGCAAGUUUUGCGCGGCGAAUUGUAGUCUAUAGAGGCGUGAUCAGUGUGGGCGCUUGGGGCAAGUUUCUUGGAAGAGGACAGCAUGGAGGGUGAUACUCCCGUUCAUCCCUGAGUUGCUCGUGCGUUCGAUCCGGUUUCUUUGAGUCGCGUUGUUUGGGAAUUCAGCGCAAAGUAGGUGGUAAAUUCCAUCUAAAGCUAAAUAUUUGUGCGAGACCGAUAGCGAACAAGUACCGUGAGGGAAAGAUGAAAAGAACUUUGAAAAGAGAGUUAAAGAGUACCUGAAACUGCUGAAAGGGAACCGAAUCGUUUCCCAGUGUCUAUAAUCCGUGGUAUAUUUCAUUGGCGAGUGUGUGCGUGCGUGUGCUGUGGCAGCGGCUUUUUUGGCUGCGCUCGGCGUGUGUGCUGUGUGUGCUUGCUGGUGCCCUGUGCUGCGGUGGGACGUCAAGGUCAGUUCGUAUGCUGCGGGAAAUGGCCGCCGAGGAGGUAGGGCUUACGCUUGCGUUUGUCUGUUAUAUCUUGGUGGACGAGUAGUCGCGGUUGGGACUGAGGUGCCUACAACGUGUUUUUGAGUGGGCCUGUGUCUCUGUGUGCGCCGUGUGCGGAUAGCUUGCUAUGCGUGUGUGGUUGUGUGUGGAUUGAUGUGGGUUUUAACUUGUUGCCGUUCGGGACGUUGACGAAAUGGAGCGAUUUGACCCGUCUUGAAACACGGACCAAGGAGUCUAACAUGUGUGCAAGUGUUAGGGUGUGGAAACCCCAGCGCGAAAUGAAAGUGAAGGGCAGCGUAAGUUGUCUGAGGUAGGAAAUGCUGCGGGCUUCGGUCUGCGGUGUGGCACUAUCGACCGAUCAUGAACCUUCGUGGUGAAAGAUUUGAGUUUGAGCACAUAUGUUGGUACCCGAAAGAUGGUGAACUAUGCCUGAGUAGGGUGAAGCCAGGGGAAACUCUGGUGGAAGCUCGUAGCGAUUCUGACGUGCAAAUCGAUCGUCAAACUUGGGUAUAGGGGCGAAAGACUAAUCGAACCAUCUAGUAGCUGGUUCCCUCCGAAAUUUCCCUCAGGAUAGCAGCAACUUAUUACGAUAGUUUUAUGAGUAAAGCGAAUGAUUAGAGAUUCGGGGAAGAAACUUCCUCGACCUAUUCUCAAACUUUAAAUCUGUAAGACCUGCAGUUUCUUAAUUGAAACUUGUGGAAAUGUGAAUAUCAGAGUGCUAGUGGGCC